GUAGGUGGCAAGCGUUAUCCGGAAUUAUUGGGCGUAAAGCGCGCGCAGGCGGUUUCUUAAGUCUGAUGUGAAAGCCCACGGCUCAACCGUGGAGGGUCAUUGGAAACUGGGGAACUUGAGUGCAGAAGAGAAAAGCGGAAUUCCACGUGUAGCGGUGAAAUGCGUAGAGAUGUGGAGGAACACCAGUGGCGAAGGCGGCUUUUUUGGUCUGUAACUGACGCUGAGGCGCGAAAGCGUGGGGAGCAAACAGGGAUUAGAUACCCUGGUAGUCCACGCCGUAAACGAUGAGUGCUAAGUGUUAGAGGGUUUCCGCCCCUUUAGUGCUGCAGCUAACGCAUUAAGCACUCCGCCUGGGGAUACGGUCGCAAGACUG
rnacentral:rRNA from 1 species